rnacentral:rRNA from 1 species
UGGGGAAUAUUGCGCAAUGGGCGGAAGCCUGACGCAGCGACGCCGCGUGGGGGAUGACGGCCUUCGGGUUGUAAACCUCUUUCAGCAGGGACGAAGCGGAAGUGACGGUACCUGCAGAAGAAGCACCGGCCAACUACGUGCCAGCAGCCGCGGUAAUACGUAGGGUGCAAGCGUUGUCCGGAAUUAUUGGGCGUAAAGAGCUCGUAGGCGGUUUGUUGCGUCGGCUGUGAAAUCCCGAGGCUCAACCUCGGGUCUGCAGUCGAUACGAGCAAACUAGAGUGUUGCAGGGGAGACUGGAAUUCCUGGUGUAGCGGUGAAAUGCGCAGAUAUCAGGAGGAACACCGGUGGCGAAGGCGGGUCUCUGGGCAACAACUGACGCUGAGGAGCGAAAGCGUGGGGAGCGAACAGG